GGAGAGAUGGCAGAGUGGUCGAUCGCGCUANCUUGGAAAGGUAGUGAACGUUUAUAGCGUUCCGAGGGUUCGAAUCCCUCUCUCUCCGCCA
rnacentral:tRNA from 1 species